GCCGGGAUGGCGGAACAGGUAGACGCGCCGGACUUAAAAUCCUGUGGGCCUUACGGCCCGUGCGGGUUCGAUUCCCGCUCCUGGUACAA
rnacentral:tRNA from 1 species